rnacentral:rRNA from 1 species
UGGGGAAUAUUGCACAAUGGGCGCAAGCCUGAUGCAGCAACGCCGCGUGAACGAUGAAGGUCUUCGGAUCGUAAAGUUCUGUUGCAGGGGAAGAUAAUGACGGUACCCUGUGAGGAAGCCCCGGCUAACUACGUGCCAGCAGCCGCGGUAAUACGUAGGGGGCUAGCGUUAUCCGGAUUUACUGGGCGUAAAGGGUGCGUAGGUGGUCUUUCAAGUCGGUGGUUAAAGGCUACGGCUCAACCGUAGUUAGCCUCCGAAACUGGAAGACUUGAGUGCAGGAGAGGAAAGUAGAAUUCCCAGUGUAGCGGUGAAAUGCGUAGAUAUUGGGAGGAACACCAGUAGCGAAGGCGGCUUUCUGGACUGCAACUGACACUGAGGCACGAAAGCGUGGGGAGCAAACAGG